GUUUUAGGGUUGGGGGGGUUGGCUUAGUUCUAGUUCCUCUGCCUUUGGCUAUUGGCAGGCCUUUUAUGUUCUUGGAGGAUGUGAGGGAAAUUUAAAUGGAGCUAGAUAGAUCUCAGCGGCUGGUUAGUGUAUUGACUGCAGGUUUCUCAUUUGGGAUGUGCUGUGCUUCGGUGGAAUUUUACGCUAAUUGUCGUGGCAUACUUCCACCUUAAUCGAUGCAUAUUGAUGAUGACAGCCUCCUGUGGUACGACCUCGGGUUCAUUCAGUUCCAUUCAAAAGGGCCAAGAGUGAACUGAACAUGACAGAACAUCCCAAUUUCCUCAGCAAACAAACAAAGGGUGGGGUGGCCAGUCAUCUCAUUAACCCUCAGUAUAUGGAGAAGAAUGCGGUGACAACUCCAAGCCCGAGUCAUUCAUGAGCUGACACUGAGGGCCCAGGAGAACUGGCCCUUCUAGGAGGGCUGGAUGCGGUAACGAGGCCCAGAUUCUUGCUCCCUUUUGCACUUCCUCUCAAUUGGUGGCCAGUCAGAACAAGUCAAGGUUAACAGUGCCAUCUACAGUAAAGAGGCUGCCUCUCUCCAACAGUGUUUUACAGGAAAUGAGGGGUUGAGAGAGCGGUACAGUACUCGGUCAUGAUGACCCAUCUCUAAAAGCAAGAGUGUGUUGUUACAGUUUUGUGUUUUCCACAACUUGGAAACCUAACUCUUCAGAUGGAGGUUGAAUUUGUAUAAUCGUGACAUCCUUUUCAGAGUCAAACAAAUUCAAUGCAUUAUUUUCAAAUUAUAUAUAUAUAUAUAUAUAUAAAAAAUUGAUCUGUGGAAUUAGAGUUGAUUGUAAUUAUUUUUUAUACAAAAAUUGAUAAUUUGAUUAUAUAGUAUAUACCUAAUCAACUAGGAAGUGUGAUCAAUUGAUUAUACAAAAAUCUAAAUACAUGAAUACUGAUGGACCCAGAAUGACACAUAUUCAAUGAUUAAUUUGGGCAAUAUAUGACAGACUUCAGAGUCCAAACAGAUCAGGGCCUCGGCCAUUGGGCCGUGGUGGGAAAAAAGCUUAAUACAGCUAUCACUGUUUGUCCUCACCCUUAUCCCAUUCUCCUUAAUCCACUCCACAACGCUGUGCUCUCCCACUUACCGGAAGCUCCAACAUUUACCUCAGGAUUUACCAGGUUUGGGCUGAAGUGGCUGUGAAUGGGAAAGUGCUAAUCUACAAGGCAGAUUUAGGAUUAGUCUGGUGA